GACGAACGCUGGCGGCGUGCUUAACACAUGCAAGUCGAACGGAAAGGCCCUGCUUUUGUGGGGUGCUCGAGUGGCGGACGGGUGAGUAACACGUGAGUAACCUGCCCUUGACUUUGGGAUAACUUCAGGAAACUGGGGCUAAUACCGGAUAGGAGCUCCUGCUGCAUGGUGGGGGUUGGAAAGUUUCGGCGGUUGGGGAUGGACUCGCGGCUUAUCAGCUUGUUGGUGGGGUAGUGGCUUACCAAGGCUUUGACGGGUAGCCGGCCUGAGAGGGUGACCGGCCACAUUGGGACUGAGAUACGGCCCAGACUCCUACGGGAGGCAGCAGUGGGGAAUAUUGCACAAUGGGCGGAAGCCUGAUGCAGCAACGCCGCGUGCGGGACGACGGCCUUCGGGUUGUAAACCGCUUUCGCCUGUGACGAAGCGUGAGUGACGGUAAUGGGUAAAGAAGCACCGGCUAACUACGUG
rnacentral:rRNA from 1 species